GAUCCUGGCUCAGGAUGAACGCUAGCUACAGGCUUAACACAUGCAAGUCGAGGGGGCAGCAUGACCUAGCAAUAGGUUGAUGGCGACCGGCGCACGGGUGAGUAACACGUAUCCAACCUACCGGUUAUUCCGGGAUAGCCUUUCGGAAAGAAAGAUUAAUACCGGAUAGUAUAACGAGAAGGCAUCUUCUUGUUAUUAAAGAAUUUCGAUAACCGAUGGGGAUGCGUUCCAUUAGUUUAGUUUGGGCGGGGGUAACGGCCCACCAAG
rnacentral:rRNA from 1 species